AUUGAACGCUGGCGGCGUGCUUAACACAUGCAAGUCGAACGGUAAGGCCCUUCGGGGUACACGAGUGGCGAACGGGUGGGUAACACGUGGGUGAUCUGCCCUGCACUUCGGGAUAAGCCUGGGAAACUGGGUCUAAUACCGGAUAGGACUCCUGGCUUCAUGGGUGGGGGUGGAAAGCUUUUGCGGUGUGGGAUGGGCCCGCGGCCUAUCAGCGUGUUGGUGGGGUAAGGGCCUACCAAGGCGACGACGGGUAGCCGGCCGGAGAGGGUGACCGGUCACACUGGGACUGAGAUACGGCCCAGACUCCUACGGGAGGCAGCAGUGGGGAAUAUUGCACAAUGGGCGCAAGCCUGAUGCAGCGACGCCGCGUGAGGGAUGACGGCCUUCGGGUUGUAAACCUCUUUCAGCUAUGACGAAGCGCAAGUGACGGUAGUAGCAGAAGAAGGACCGGCCAACUACGUGCCAGCCGCCGCCGUAA
rnacentral:rRNA from 1 species